UGACAGUACUCCUACGGGGAGGCAGCAGUGAGGAAUAUUGGACAAUGGAGGCAACUCUGAUCCAGCCAUGCCGCGUGCAGGAAGACUGCCCUAUGGGUUGUAAACUGCUUUAUACAGGAAGAAACCACUCUACGUGUAGAGUUCUGACGGUACUGUAAGAAUAAGGAUCGGCUAACUCCGUGCCAGCAGCCGCGGUAAUACGGAGGAUCCAAGCGUUAUCCGGAAUCAUUGGGUUAAAGGGUCCGUAGGUGGACAAUUAAGUCAGAGGUGAAAGUCUGCAGCUCAACUGUAGAAUUGCCUUUGAUACUGGUUGUCUUGAAUUAUUGUGAAGUAGUUAGAAUAUGUAGUGUAGCGGUGAAAUGCAUAGAUAUUACAUAGAAUACCAAUUGCGAAGGCAGAUUACUAACAAUAUAUUGACACUGAUGGACGAAAGCGUGGGGAGCGAACAGGAUUAGAUACCCUGGUAG
rnacentral:rRNA from 1 species